UGCCAGCAGCCGCGGUAAUACGGAGGGGGUUAGCGUUGUUCAGAAUUACUGGGCGUAAAGCGUACGUAGGCGGAUUAUUAAGUGAGGGGUGAAAUCCCAGGGCUCAACCCUGGAACUGCCUCUCAUACUGGUAGUCUUGAGGUCGAGAGAGGUGAGUGGAAUUCCGAGUGUAGAGGUGAAAUUCGUAGAUAUUCGGAAGAACACCAGUGGCGAAGGCGACUCACUGGCACAUUUCUGACGCUGAGGCGCGAAAGCGUGGGGAGCAAACAGGAUUAGAUA
rnacentral:rRNA from 1 species